rnacentral:rRNA from 1 species
UACGUAGGGGACGAGCGUUGUCCGGAAUUACUGGGCGUAAAGGGCGCGCAGGCUGCGCGUCGAGUCGGCUGUUAAAGAUCCGGGCUUAACCCGGUGAAGCGAUCGAGACCGACGAGCUGGAGUGCUGCAGAGGCAAGUGGAAUUCCCGGUGUAGCGGUGAAAUGCGUAGAUAUCGGGAAGAACACCGGUGGCGAAGGCGACUUGCUGGGCAGCAACUGACGCUGAGGCGCGAAAGCCAGGGGAGCAAACGGGAUUAGAUACCCGUGUA